rnacentral:rRNA from 1 species
CAAAUUGAGAGUUUGAUCCUGGCUCAGGACGAACGCUGGCGGCGUGCCUAAUACAUGCAAGUCGAGCGAGCUGAAUUCAAAGAUCCCUUCGGGGUGAUUUGUUGGACGCUAGCGGCGGAUGGGUGAGUAACACGUGGGCAAUCUGCCCUAAAGACUGGGAUACCACUUGGAAACAGGUGCUAAUACCGGAUAACAACAUGAAUCGCAUGAUUCAAGUUUGAAAGGCGGCGUAAGCUGUCACUUUAGGAUGAGCCCGCGGCGCAUUAGCUAGUUGGUGGGGUAAAGGCCUACCAAGGCAAUGAUGCGUAGCCGAGUUGAGAGACUGAUCGGCCACAUUGGGACUGAGACACGGCCCAAACUCCUACGGGAGGCAGCAGUAGGGAAUCUUCCACAAUGGACGCAAGUCUGAUGGAGCAACGCCGCGUGAGUGAAGAAGGUUUUCGGAUCGUAAAGCUCUGUUGUUGGUGAAGAAGGAUAGAGGCAGUAACUGGUCUUUAUUUGACGGUAAUCAACCAGAAAGUCACGGCUAACUACGUGCCAGCAGCCGCGGUAAUACGUAGGUGGCAAGCGUUGUCCGGAUUUAUUGGGCGUAAAGCGAGCGCAGGCGGAAUGAUAAGUCUGAUGUGAAAGCCCACGGCUCAACCGUGGAACUGCAUCGGAAACUGUCAUUCUUGAGUGCAGAAGAGGAGAGUGGAAUUCCAUGUGUAGCGGUGGAAUGCGUAGAUAUAUGGAAGAACACCAGUGGCGAAGGCGGCUCUCUGGUCUGCAACUGACGCUGAGGCUCGAAAGCAUGGGUAGCGAACAGGAUUAGAUACCCUGGUAGUCCAUGCCGUAAACGAUGAGCGCUAGGUGUUGGGGACUUUCC